ensembl:snRNA U2 U2 spliceosomal RNA
UUUGGUCUGCUGAUGUUGGCCAAGUGUAGUAUCUUGUUCUUCAAAGUUUAAUAUCUGAUAUGCCCUUGAUGAGAGGAUUUUAUAUUAAACAGACCUUAGGGCAUGGGAGUUAGACCUGGAACUUGUUUUCUGCUUCAUGCAUUCCCCCAGUACUGCAGUGACUCUGGGAAUGGUGCGCUGAUA